UUUUUGAGUUCGGAUUCUCAGGUUGAAAUGGUUGUUGUUAUUUUAGUUAUUGUGUGUUUUUCUUACUUAUGUUUGGAUUUUUAUAUUUUGCAGUGAAAGAGCUUGAAGGGGGAAAGGAGAAUUGGUACUAGAAAGUGAACAAUUUUCUUGUUGAGAGGAUGACAUUCACAUAAGAUAUCCAAUCUGAAGGCUCUUGGAAGAAUCAAUCUGAUAGGAUACCCAAUAUGAAACUAGGAAGAACUGAUAUGACUCGGUUCAAAGAGAACCGAGUCGAAUCCUAGAUUGCUUCUAUUAAAAAAAACCGAGGCGAAUCGAAGUGACUUUUUACCUCGUCUAUAUAUGUCUCGGUUCCCAAACCGAGGUUUAUGGCAAAAAAUAACAGGUGCCAAUUUGUUUAACUGCACUAGUAUUAUGAUCUAAUACUUUAAAUUUAAUUUAUGCUUUUUAUGGUUGCUUUUUAAUAUUGCAAGUUCAUUAAUCAUCUGAUAUUGGGCUGCUCUGUUUGCAUUAAUGCUUAAUGGUCCUGUUAAGUUUUUAUUAUAACCACUGUUAUGAACCUAUUUGGAACAAUGCUUUGAACCAGCCAUGUACACGUCUCUGUCCUCUUUUUCUUUCUUUUUUUUUCCUAUAUUUCCUUAUUCUAGAAUUUGUACUUAAAUCUAUCUAUAUCACAUAAAAUAUAUUAUCUAAGUUUGUAUAUUUAGCAAGGUUUCAAACGUUCGAUCAGUUCAAGGAUUCAAGGUCCAACUGAGUUUGUUUGCUUACAUACCUAUGAAUAUAUGAAAUUAUGUAAAAAUAUAAUUUAUGUUUGUAAACAAGUAUAAUAAUGGAGGAAAAGCCAAAGUAUAUCAUUAGCACUGGUUCACUGGUAAGCUUCUCUAUUUAAUGGGUUGAUCAGACUGGUCAAAACAUCAACUCUUGAUCUCCCAUGUUAAUCUGCUAGGUUUUAAAAACAAGCAAGGUUGUAUAGAUUCUAGACACUACACUACAGAUGUCAAUGUUAUUUGAGGGACCAAGUUUGCAUCUUAUUUGAAAUAGAUAUCAACAUUUAAUUUUUAGUUUAUUUUUGAACUUUAUAUUCCUAACUAACAAGUAUAUCUUGGUCUCCUGUGUCAGAGUUGUUGCUUAUCUUUCCCGUGUGCUAGAAUCUGCAUUUACUGCUCUAGAAGGCCUUAACAAACAAGCAUUCCUGACUGAAUUGGGGAAUCGCCUGCACAAGGUGCUACUAAACCAUUGCCAGAAGUAUACUUUUAAUCCAAGGCUAUUCCAGGUGUUCCAAGAAUCAAUUAUGGCUAUAAUCCUACAACAUGGAUGCUUGAGAUUAGCAAUCCUUCAUAUGAAGCUCAACUUGGCAUAGAUUUUUCGGUUUUUUGGAGAUUUACGCUAACUCUACUCUUUACCUAAAUAAUCAAGAGCUUAUCAAAGAACUCAGUACUCCACCACCAGGUUCCAAUGACUUGCACUUCCCAACCAAAUAUUCCUAGUCAUUACUUGAUUAUUAUAUGCAACGCAGAGGUCUCAAUUGCAUUCGUGGAAGAAAACAAGAUAGUCGAGGCUCUGCUAUUGAAAUCCUAUCUUUUAAAUUAGUUUAGUUGUUAGGAAAGAUUAGAGAGUUUUGUACAAUCUUAUCAUGCAGGCAGCCAGUCUGACCCAUAUAUUUGUUUUUGAAACAUUUUAGUUAUUGAAGACAUUUCCAAAGG